GAUGAACGCUGGCGGCGUGCCUAAUACAUGCAAGUCGAGCGAACAGACGAGGAGCUUGCUCCUCUGACGUUAGCGGCGGACGGGUGAGUAACACGUGGAUAACCUACCUAUAAGACUGGGAUAACUUCGGGAAACCGGAGCUAAUACCGGAUAAUAUAUUGAACCGCAUGGUUCAAUAGUGCAAGACGCUUUUGCUGUCACUUAUAGAUGGAUCCGCGCCGCAUUAGCUAGUUGGUAAGGUAACGGCUUACCAAGGCAACGAUGCGUAGCCGACCUGAGAGGGUGAUCGGCCACACUGGAACUGAGACACGGUCCAGACUCCUACGGGAGGCAGCAGUAGGGAAUCUUCCGCAAUGGGCGAAAGCUUGACGGAGCAACGCCGCGUGAGUGAUGAAGGUCUUCGGAUCGUAAAACUCUGUUAUUAGGGAAGAACAAAUGUGUAAGUAACUAUGCACGUCUUGACGGUACCUAAUCAGAAAGCCACGGCUAACUACGUG
rnacentral:rRNA from 1 species